rnacentral:rRNA from 1 species
GAUACUGACCUGCCAAGGCAUCUUGGCGGGUCGAAAGCUCCGGCGGUGCAGGAUGAGCCCGCGGCCUAUCAGCUUGUUGGUGAGGUAAUGGCUCACCAAGGCGACGACGGGUAGCCGGCCUGAGAGGGCGACCGGCCACACUGGGACUGAGACACGGCCCAGACUCCUACGGGAGGCAGCAGUGGGGAAUAUUGCACAAUGGGCGAAAGCCUGAUGCAGCGACGCCGCGUGAGGGAUGACGGCCUUCGGGUUGUAAACCUCUUUCAGCAGGGAAGAAGCGAAAGUGACGGUACCUGCAGAAGAAGCGCCGGCUAACUACGUGCCAGCAGCCGCGGUAAUACGUAGGGCGCAAGCGUUGUCCGGAAUUAUUGGGCGUAAAGAGCUCGUAGGCGGCUUGUCGCGUCGGUUGUGAAAGCCCGGGGCUUAACCCCGGGUCUGCAGUCGAUACGGGCAGGCUAGAGUUCGGUAGG